GAAAGAAGUUUAUAGAACUGAAACAGGUGCUGAGUUUGGAGACUGCUUGAACCUCUUUUCUGGUUGAUGGCUGGUGUGUGGAACCCACUUCUCCUCAGAAGAUUCAACUAAAUGACUGUUGGAGCUGCUAUCAUGGGCCCUCAACUGCUCAGUUAAGUGAACACCAGACAAAAUCUGGAAAUCCGAGGCCUGAAGUACACAAUCAGUAGCUUCGAGAAAAGCAUCUGCUUAAUCGAGGAAAAACUCUUCAAACAGGGAAAUGAGUUGAACAAAGAGAAAAAGUGCUCCUCCACGCAGACUGAGAACGAGCAGGAAGCUGACAAAGACCCAAAGCCCACAGCAAAGAGAACUGGAUCAGACAUGUCACCACCCAGGAAAGCUCAAAAGCCUCGACUUGAUGCUGCUUCACCUGAUCCUACAAACACAACACACACAACACAAUCUCUCAUCUCCAGUGCAUUAGAAACACUACAAAAGUCCUGUUCUGAUGUUUUACCUACAGACAGGAUUCAUGCACUUCUCACAGGAACAAGUGA